rnacentral:rRNA from 1 species
UGGGGAAUUUUGGACAAUGGGCGAAAGCCUGAUCCAGCAAUGCCGCGUGUGUGAAGAAGGCCUUCGGGUUGUAAAGCACUUUUGUCCGGAAAGAAAUCCUUGGCUCUAAUACAGUCGGGGGAUGACGGUACCGGAAGAAUAAGCACCGGCUAACUACGUGCCAGCAGCCGCGGUAAUACGUAGGGUGCAAGCGUUAAUCGGAAUUACUGGGCGUAAAGCGUGCGCAGGCGGUUUGCUAAGACCGAUGUGAAAUCCCCGGGCNCAACCUGGGAACUGCAUUGGUGACUGGCAGGCUAGAGUAUGGCAGAGGGGGGUAGAAUUCCACGUGUAGCAGUGAAAUGCGUAGAGAUGUGGAGGAAUACCGAUGGC